CGCGAAAGGUCCCCGGUUCGAUCCCGGGCGGAACCAUUUUGGUUUGGUCUGAAUUCUGUUUCGUAAGUUUUAAAAAAUGUUAGGACUAGCGUGGUUGACAGGCGCGUUGGUGCCGAAGUGGUUCCGUAGUCCGUGAAUUGCAGAUUUUGCAACACGCCCGAGACUGUCGAUCACCUUUUUCUGGACUGCACAGAAGCUUUAUUCUUUUGGGAUGACUUACAGUUCAAAGUCCUUAAGCGCCGUCUUUCGCUUAAUCCUCACACUAUCCGCUUCCUCCCAUUACGUCCCGGUGAAAAUGUGAGAUACGAUAUCGUUCUUCUUGUUGCCAUGUACUGUUUGUGGAAGCUUCGUAUGGCCGAUAGGAACGAAGAGCCCUUGUGUCCUCCUAUGAAAUAUUUCAAAGCCGAACUACUGCAGGUUUGGGGAAAAGGGUCACCACCUUCUCCAGGGACGUCCAGACACCAAAUAUUCAGCGCUCCUGAGACAACACGUGAUGGCAAAUUAACGCUCCUAAUAAAUUAACAUAAACUCUG